rnacentral:rRNA from 1 species
UACGGAGGAUCCAAGCGUUAUCCGGAUUUAUUGGGUUUAAAGGGUGCGUAGGCGGGCCCUUAAGUCAGUGGUGAGAGUUUGCAGCUUAACUGUAAAAUUGCCAUUGAAACUGAGGGUCUUGAGUGUAAAUAAGGUAGGCGGAAUGUGUUGUGUAGCGGUGAAAUGCUUAGAUAUAACACAGAACACCAAUUGCGAAGGCAGCUUACUGGGAUACAACUGACGCUGAGGCACGAAAGUGUGGGGAUCAAACAGGAUUAGAUACCCUGGUAGUCCACGCAGUAAACGAUGAAUACUAGCUGUAUGCGAUAUAUUGUAUGUGGCACAGCGAAAGCGUUAAGUAUUCCACCUGGGGAGUACGUUCGCAAGAAUGAA